rnacentral:rRNA from 1 species
UUCUAUGGUUGACCUCGGAUCAGGUAGGGAUACCCGCUGAACUUAAGCAUAUCAAUA